GGAUUGUAGUCUGCAACCCGACUACAUGAAGCUGGAAUCGCUAGUAAUCGCGAAUCAGAAUGUCGCGGUGAAUACGUUCCCGGGUCUUGUACACACCGCCCGUCACACCAUGGGAGUCGGAAAUGCCCGAAGUCAGUGACCCAACCGCAAGGAGGGAGCUGCCGAAGGUGGAGCCGGUAACUGGGGUGAAGUCGUAACAAGGUAAC
rnacentral:rRNA from 1 species